GGGUUGUGAGGUUAAGCGACUAAGCGUACACGGUGGAUGCCCUGGCAGUCAGAGGCGAUGAAGGACGUGCUAAUCUGCGAAAAGCGUCGGUAAGGUGAUAUGAACCGUUACAGCCGGCGAUGUCCGAAUGGGGGAAACCCAGUGCAAUUCGUUGCACUAUCGUUAACUGAAUACAUAGGUUAACGAGGCGAACCGGGGGAACUGAAACAUCUAAGUACCCCGAGGAAAAGAAAUCAACCGAGAUUCCCCCAGUAGCGGCGAGCGAACGGGGAGCAGCCCAGAGUCUGAAUCAGCUUGUGUGUUAGUGGAACGGUCUGGAAAGUCCGACGGUACAGGGUGAUAGUCCCGUACACCAAAAUGCACAGGUUGUGAACUCGAAGAGUAGGGCGGGACACGUGGUAUCCUGUCUGAAUAUGGGGGGACCAUCCUCCAAGGCUAAAUACUCCUGACUGACCGAUAGUGAACCAGUACCGUGAGGGAAAGGCGAAAAGAACCCCGGCGAGGGGAGUGAAAAAGAACCUGAAACCGUGUACGUACAAGCAGUGGGAGCACCUUCGGGUGUGACUGCGUACCUUUUGUAUAAUGGGUCAGCGACUUAUAUUCUGUAGCAAGGUUAACCGUAUAGGGGAGCCGCAGGGAAACCGAGUCUUAACUGGGCGUUAAGUUGCAGGGUAUAGACCCGAAACCCGGUGAUCUAGCCAUGGGCAGGUUGAAGGUUGGGUAACACUAACUGGAGGACCGAACCGACUAAUGUUGAAAAAUUAGCGGAUGACUUGUGGCUGGGGGUGAAAGGCCAAUCAAACCGGGAGAUAGCUGGUUCUCCCCGAAAGCUAUUUAGGUAGCGCCUCGUGAACUCAUCUUCGGGGGUAGAGCACUGUUUCGGCUAGGGGGUCAUCCCGACUUACCAACCCGAUGCAAACUACGAAUACCGAAGAAUGUUAUCACGGGAGACACACGGCGGGUGCUAACGUCCGUCGUGAAGAGGGGAAACAACCCAGACCGCCAGCUAAGGUCCCAAAGUCAUGGUUAAGUGGGAAACGAUGUGGGAAGGCACAGACAGCCAGGAUGUUGGCUUAGAAGCAGCCAUCAUUUAAAGAAAGCGUAAUAGCUCACUGGUCGAGUCGGCCUGCGCGGAAGAUGUAACGGGGCUAAACCAUGCACCGAAGCUGCGGCAGCGACACUAUGUGUUGUUGGGUAGGGGAGCGUUCUGUAAGCCUGCGAAGGUGACCUGUGAGGGUUGCUGGAGGUAUCAGAAGUGCGAAUGCUGACAUAAGUAACGAUAAAGCGGGUGAAAAGCCCGCUCGCCGGAAGACCAAGGGUUCCUGUCCAACGUUAAUCGGGGCAGGGUGAGUCGACCCCUAAGGCGAGGCCGAAAGGCGUAGUCGAUGGGAAACAGGUUAAUAUUCCUGUACUUGGUGUUACUGCGAAGGGGGGACGGAGAAGGCUAUGUUAGCCGGGCGACGGUUGUCCCGGUUUAAGCAUGUAGGCUGGUUGUCCAGGCAAAUCCGGAUAAUCAAGGCUGAGGUGUGAUGACGAGGCACUACGGUGCUGAAGUAACAAAUGCCCUGCUUCCAGGAAAAGCCUCUAAGCAUCAGGUAACAUCAAAUCGUACCCCAAACCGACACAGGUGGUCAGGUAGAGAAUACCAAGGCGCUUGAGAGAACUCGGGUGAAGGAACUAGGCAAAAUGGUGCCGUAACUUCGGGAGAAGGCACGCUGGUGUGUAGGUGAAGUCCCUGCGGAUGGAGCUGAGACCAGUCGAAGAUACCAGCUGGCUGCAACUGUUUAUUAAAAACACAGCACUGUGCAAACACGAAAGUGGACGUAUACGGUGUGACGCCUGCCCGGUGCCGGAAGGUUAAUUGAUGGGGUUAUCCGUAAGGAGAAGCUCUUGAUCGAAGCCCCGGUAAACGGCGGCCGUAACUAUAACGGUCCUAAGGUAGCGAAAUUCCUUGUCGGGUAAGUUCCGACCUGCACGAAUGGCGUAAUGAUGGCCAGGCUGUCUCCACCCGAGACUCAGUGAAAUUGAACUCGCUGUGAAGAUGCAGUGUACCCGCGGCAAGACGGAAAGACCCCGUGAACCUUUACUAUAGCUUGACACUGAACAUUGAGCCUUGAUGUGUAGGAUAGGUGGGAGGCUUUGAAGCGUGGACGCCAGUCUGCGUGGAGCCAACCUUGAAAUACCACCCUUUAAUGUUUGAUGUUCUAACGUUGGCCCCUUACCGGGGUUGCGGACAGUGUCUGGUGGGUAGUUUGACUGGGGCGGUCUCCUCCCAAAGCGUAACGGAGGAGCACGAAGGUUAGCUAAUCCUGGUCGGACAUCAGGAGGUUAGUGCAAUGGCAUAAGCUAGCUUGACUGCGAGCGUGACGGCGCGAGCAGGUGCGAAAGCAGGUCAUAGUGAUCCGGUGGUUCUGAAUGGAAGGGCCAUCGCUCAACGGAUAAAAGGUACUCCGGGGAUAACAGGCUGAUACCGCCCAAGAGUUCAUAUCGACGGCGGUGUUUGGCACCUCGAUGUCGGCUCAUCACAUCCUGGGGCUGAAGUAGGUCCCAAGGGUAUGGCUGUUCGCCAUUUAAAGUGGUACGCGAGCUGGGUUUAGAACGUCGUGAGACAGUUCGGUCCCUAUCUGCCGUGGGCGCUGGAGAAUUGAGGGGGGCUGCUCCUAGUACGAGAGGACCGGAGUGGACGCAUCACUGGUGUUCGGGUUGUCAUGCCAAUGGCACUGCCCGGUAGCUAAAUGCGGAAGAGAUAAGUGCUGAAAGCAUCUAAGCACGAAACUUGCCCCGAGAUGAGUUCUCCCUGAGACUUUAAGUCUCCUGAAGGAACGUUAAAGACGAUGACGUUGAUAGGCCGGGUGUGUAAGCGCAGCGAUGCGUUGAGCUAACCGGUACUAAUGAACCGUGAGGCUUAACCUUACAACGCCGAAG
rnacentral:rRNA from 1 species